rnacentral:rRNA from 1 species
GACGAACGCUGGCGGCGUGCCUAAUACAUGCAAGUCGAACGCUUCUUCCCUCCCGAGUGCUUGCACUCAAUUGGAAAGAGGAGUGGCGGACGGGUGAGUAACACGUGGGUAACCUACCCAUCAGAGGGGGAAAACACUUGGAAACAGGUGCUAAUACCGCAUAACAGUUUAUGCCGCAUGGCAUAAGAGUGAAAGGCGCUUUCGGGUGUCGCUGAUGGAUGGAUCCGCGGUGCAUUAGCUAGUUGGUGGGGUAACGGCUCACCAAGGCCACGAUGCAUAGACGACCUGAGAGGGUGAUCGGCCACACGGGAACUGAGACACGGCCCAGACUCCUACGGGAGGCAGCAGUAGGGAAUCUGCGGCAAUGGACGAAAGUCUGACCGAGCAACGCCGCGUGAGUGAAGAAGGUGUUCGGAUCGUAAAACUCUGUUGUUAGGGAAGAACAAGGACGUUAGUAACUGAACGUCCCCUGACGGUAUCUAACCAGAAAGACACGGCUAACUACGUG